AUGUGUUCUGAAUUUACAAAGUUGCCGAAGUGCAGAAUAUUGUCAUAUUCUUAUAUUUUCGUUUUAUUUCGAGAAAAUAAGAUAAAUACAGAACAUUCGUGAGUAUGCAGAGUUCACUAAAUACAAGGGGAAAUUUUUGUGCUAACUGUGGGACGGAUCUUCGAAAGUCUGACGAACGAAGACCUUGAGGAACAGUGAUCCAUCAACAUCAGCUGGGCCUUCUAAUGAUCCUCGUGCCACCAAACUUUUGACUUUUAAAGAGUAUUUGGCAGAUAUUUCAUUUGCCACUGUUGAGACAAGGAAGCGUCAAGAUCGUUUUGUCUCCACAAAAAAGAAGAGAAAGAAUAAGACCGUCAAGAUAAACAUUGGAAUUAUUAAGAUGGAUGGGAAUCAUUUGAAAAG